UCCAAAAUGUUCCCACACGCCGGAUUUGAACGACGCGGGUGCAUCCGCCAAAUCCGGGCAGCCUUCAUUAUCUCCUCCACCUACCAUUUCUGCACCACUCCUAUAUUUAUUUAUAUUUAUAUAUAAUAAUUCUAACUUUUUUUCACUUUUUUUGUGUAUUUAUUUUAGCGGCCCAGCAGAUACCAGACGCGGCAGAGCAGAUAAUAAGAGCUUCAAACGGGACAGUAUACCCAAUACUGCAGAUCAGAGAAGAGCAGAUAGGAGAAGAUUUACUGAUACAGAUAGCAGAAGCUCUAGCACAGAUAUCAGAAG